UCAUUAGCCCUGGAGACCUCUCUUUCCCUACAGAACCAGCGCAACCUGGGCAGCAGCUGGGCAAGCUCCUCCUCCUCCACGCUGCCCUUGUCUCAACCCGGCUUCAACCCCAACCUGGCAGGGCCACUCUCAGAAGUAAGAGGGGUGUUCAGUCUCCAUUCAAGGGCCCGAUCUGAUACACAUCUAAC
rnacentral:sRNA from 1 species